ACCUGUCUUUGGAGACAUUUAGAAGGAGGAUACCCAAGAAGACAGAGCAGUCUUUGUGUGAACAGUGGGCUAGGCAGCUGAAGAGUUGCCUAGGGGCUUUCAGGGGAUCACCAAAUCUGUGCAAGUCCUUCAGAUGAACUACCCUACCCUCUGAAAUGCUUAAUCCAGGUAGGAUUGCUGGAAAGUGUAAUUCAAGGCCUUCCUCCAGGUGGGAUUCUUCAGUGAUUCCUGAGUUUUUUCUGGGGCUGUGCUGAUAUCUGUAUAGACAGAGGUGGUCCAAUCCAAAUACUUAUCAAUACAGGUUUAAAUUCCACAUCUAAGGUCAGUGGGUACAUCCAGCUUGUCCAGAUGUUUCUCAUCAAUGCCACCCCAUACUUAUGAGUCCUUUUAUUUGCUUUUCCCCUGAUUUCUCCUAAAUGCUACAGUGAUCUCUCUAUUUGAUUCUUUAUUUUGCUAGAGUGCCUUUUUCAGACCUAUGUUCCUUAGAUGCAGACACACAAAAUAUUUUGUGCUUCUAUGGCACCUUCCAUUGAAGAAAGAGUCUUUUAGAAGAGCUGGAAGAGAAGGAAUUAUCUCCAAUAUACAAGGCUGAACAACUUCAAAGAGACAGCCUCAUUUGCCUGGGGAUGAACAAAAAUCAGCAAAAGAAAGGAAAAAAAAAAUGGAACAUUUAACUCCUAUCUCCUUACUGGUUUGUUUUUGGUUUGUUUUUUUUUUUUUUUUUUUUUUUUUUUGCCAUAAAGUAUAUUUCCUUUUCUUAUUCAUGACACCCUUAAAAAUGCCAAAAAUCUUCUGACCUUCUUAUGAAAAAUAACCAAAGACAAACAUCUGGUGCAAAAUCAAUAUUUCUUAGUAGGCAAAAAGAUCAAACAAACUCGUUUUCUAUAGAAUCUGUCUGAUUCUCUCAAAAAGGUUAUGAGAUAUCUUCCCUGCCUCCCGCAGGCAGCAUUAAGAAGCUUAUUUCUCCUCUGAGACCACAGGAGGUUUCACAUUGUGUUGUUAACCUCCCUCAGAUCAUCCCCUCCAUGCACAAUCCCAGUCACAUUUACAUGCAGACAUAAUGUCACUCAGCCCACUUGAUGCCACUUACAUCUCCUCGUUGCUAUGGGGAACACUGAUAAGGAACCAAUUAGCAAAUAAAAUAUUUGAGGCCGAAUGUGAAAACCAUUGCUCAGUGGAUUUGUGUGUGAUAGGCAGUGACAUUUCAUUUGGCAUUUGUCCUUACCUAGCUGAGCUUCUUCCACUGCAACCUCAGCUACAUUCUGUGUAGUCAAAACAUGUUCUUUUUGGGAUUUACAGGCUUAGAUGUGCAACUGUAUGUGACCCUGGGGAAAUUUUACAGCUCUCUGAGAAGUGGGAGAGUUGGAAAGCGCUUUUGCAGCAUGGAAGUGCCAAGAGCACCAUCCAGUGCUUGAGCUGAGUAAACACACAAGAACUCGGUGGCAUUGAGACAGAGGCAGCUCUGCACAUCCCUGGUCCAGCUGCACCUGCAGGGGUGCACGAGGAGUUCAUAGAAAGAGACCACAGCCAGUUAGAGAAGGAACUUAUAAGGGAAGGCUGGCAGAGCUGUCAGCCUCUCAGGAGGGCUGGAGACAAUCGAGAAGGUCACAUCUUUUAAAGAACAGCUGUAUUCUGAGUUGGAGUUGCUGACUGAGGAAGCAAAGACACAAGGAAGGAGGAAGAGGAGGUGGCAAUAGACGGGGCCAGUUAAGAAAAGUAGGUGAAUUAAAUCCAUGAUGGAGAGUAGGUACUGCAGAGAGAGAAAACUGGGCCAGAUACUGAUCCUGUUAUCCUUUCCCUUUGCAGAGUUGAAUCAGCAGAAAGAGACUAGGAGGUUGCACUGGCAGCUGAGAAAAUAAAGAAGAAGUUACCUCAACUGCCACUGCACAGUCUCAACAGCAUGGUACUGUUUGACAAAUGUAGGUAGUCCUGGAUUUCAAAAAUUAAAAUAAUUUGGAGCAAGGUUUUGCACAGAUGUGUACAUGAAGUAGUAAUUUUUAGUACAUACGGCUACAGGCUGUUAAUGGGCUAGAGAAAAGGAACUAAUAGGAGAACAAGGAGUCCAUGGGGCUAAAAAUGGGCACAGACAAAAAAUAAUGUUAUCUGUAAAGAAGUGACACCCAAAUAGAUGUCCAAGAAAAAGGAUGCAACUUUUCUGCAGACUAGGAGCUAUGCAAUAAUCUGUGGAAACUCUAGGUAAGCAAGGAAAUAUGAAUUUGGUAUAUUGAGAACCAGAUAUUUAUUAAUCAGAGAUGAAGAGUGUUCCACUUUAGCACAAUAUUUGUGGUAACAUAUCACUAAUAUACCCUCCCCAAAACAAAACUUAGGGCAUAAUUUGGAAAUGCUGUAAUCCAAGACAGCUCCUCUGUUGUGUUCAGUGUUCCCAGGAACAGCUUAGCAUAUGUUUGCUCUUACUCUUUUUAUAUUGAACUUGCAAAGAGCAAAGAGAGUAAAACUCACUUCUUUGAUUAGUAUUAAGCAGUGUUUUGUUUGUGCCCUGUGGCAGAAAUGCCCAGAUGGAGUGGGCUGGAUACUGAAAACACGAGAGGCAUUUAGUGUUCUGUGGAGCUCUGUUAAAGUUGUCUGAAUAGAACAUCUGGUAUCAAAUAUUUGGAUAAAUCAGUUUCUGCAAGUAUUUGGGCCUGCUCUGGGUCUGUGCUUUGUUCCAGCUUUGCAUUCCCUCUCUUCCUUCCUUGUUGCUAGAGCCAAUAGAUGAUGGUUUAUUGCCUGGUGCAGCCUAUUAAAGUCCCUUUGUUGGCAAUUAGCUGAGCAGAAAGAGUGUAAAAAUCACUUUGACAUCUGUGGGGUUGAAAUGGCAACACCAACUUAAGAUCUCCCCGAAAGGCUUUUUAUCUGUCCACAAGGUGAUGCAGAAAGAAGAAAGAAAGGUUAUCCAGAGGUUUUGGGAAGAUAUUGUCUGAUGUGUCUGCAGAGUGGGACCUUGUUUGAGAGCUUUUGUCUGUGUAAAAAGCGCCUGCCCACCACAAGGCCCUAAUGGGGAUAGAUUCAUGCAACACCUGCCUGCCAGCGAAGGUGAGUGCUUCCCCACAGCUCAGCACUUCCAGAUGCCACUGCCAGCCCAGCCUUAUGUGCCAGGAAAAUUCCUGCAGAGCUGAGGAAUGUGAAAACAGGAGCUGUUGUGUGUCACAGGACUGAUGCCACUUGACAGAUGGAGGUGCCCGUGCUGCAGUCCCACAACAUUCCACAGCCCUGUUCUUCCCAAAAAUCAUCCCACUGCUGGGCACAGUGAGGAGGGGCAGGCUGUCACAUCACCAGCUGUGACUGCAGAGGCUUGAUACACCAAGAAAACUUUAGAGGAAUUAUUAUUGUCUCGAACCAAUGGUAAGGAGAAAGAGAAGCAAGUUAUUCAUGUUUAAUGUUGUUUUGUGCCAGAUGUUUGCUGGUAGAAAUCCAUAGCUCCACAGGCAUCAACUUCUUCAGGAUCUGGAAUGUUUGACACAAUUUUUUUUUCUCCUUUCUGGAUGGUCUGUAAAGGAAGCUGCUUGAUUUUGCAAUAUUGAAUAUUCACGCUGAGAAGUUAUAAGCAAAAACAAAAUAAUGAGAGACAGGGUCUCUAAUAAGCUUCCUGUCACAUGAGGCUGUGGUUCUGGUGCAGCAGAUGUGGUUGCUGACUUGUUUCCAAAAUGUUUGUUGAGUGGUGAUUAGAUUCUGUCAUAGUGAUGUUAUAUCUCUGUGAUCUCAUUCAAUACAAGUAGUUCUGCAAACAGUGAAAUAUUUUUUUCCUAUGGAUUUAUAUCUUGGAUUGUGUUUAGGCAUGGAUUCUCUGAUGUCUAAUGAGGAUUUAAUUCAUUUUAGGCUGUUUCUUCAAUGAGAAAUGAAUAAUCUGUCUUAACUUAGCUGUCUAUUUUCACAGAACUUGCAGGAAUUAAAUAUCGUAAGUUCUAAAAAUCUGAGUGGGAAUUAUGAACCAGUUCCAACACAAUUUGGAGCCAAUUAAUAUAAACAAAAAUAAAUAUGAGUCUCAUUUUCUUACAAAAGCAAAAGGUAAGACUCAAUCUUUAUUACUUUGUAUUUCCACAUUACCUGCUUGAUUCUCUUUUGGUUUAUUUGUGAUCAACCAUAGAAGGUAUGCUUUAUUUAUAAAGCUAUAUGAAAUAUGGGACUUUUUUCCACACUGAAUGCAUAUUAAGUCAUCAUUAAUUUAUGGUUGUUACAGGCCACACAAGAAGUCACAUUCUCUUUUUAUUGUCCUUGCUGGAGCAUAGGAAAGAGGUAACAUGCAUAUUAACUUACAUGUUUGCACAGGCAAAUACAGAGAAAACGAAUUCUAAAGGAAAGAUUAUCUAUUGUAUCACCAGUUCUGGUGAAGGAAAUGUAGAAUAAAAAUUAUAUUUUGGAUUGCAGAGUGCAGUCUUCUGCUCUUGUAGUGAGCCAAGUUUCCAAUCUUUUUCAUAAACAGCUUGGUGCUAUUCAAAAAUAUACUCUUUCCUCUUUGUUGUCUCUCCUGUUCUCCCAGUUUCCCACUUUAUUUGGUGUUUGUUCCAGAAUUUCCUUCUUUUGAUGGGAAGGAAACCUUUUCAUUUCCAUGGUCAGUUGAGGCAUGUUUCUCUUUUUCUGUGAAAUUCCUAAAAAAUUAAUUACUGCAGGUAGCCAUGUCUGUAUAAAGAAUAAGGAAGGAAAACUCUUAUGAGAGGACAGAAAAUCUUCACUUGGGUAAAUCCUUAAGACUUAAGUCUGUUGGAAACUAGGCUUUAAUAGCACUUAGCAUAAAGUGUUUGUGUAUUCAUACUACCAGGUUUUUCUGGGACUGGCAAAUGAAUUAUUUAGUAAUGGAAACUGCAUGUGCAUGUGUUUGGCUUCUGUAGGUUCACAUGAUAGAAAACUGUAAGAGUGUCUGUAGGGAUCACAACUGCACAACUUUGUGUCUUAUACCCUGUCUUAACAGGGCUCAGAAAUUCCCAUUUAGCUGGGUAGAAGAGAGAGAAUAGAGUGGCAAGUCUCAGCUUUUAUUGCUAAUGCUUUAAUGUAAAAUAACAUUUAUGGCCUGUAGAUUUGGUUCUGUGCAGGUCUGUGUGACUUAAAAUUUAUUACACCAUUUCAUAUUUGUGCAUCUCUCUCCAGUUCCUGGAUAUGAAAGAAAUUAAAGGUCCAAAAGGUUACCUUUAUGUUAAUAGGUCCACAUAUACCCAAUAUUUUACUUCCCUGGACAAAGGAAUUGCACCAAGGGCUGGCUUGUCCUGUUAGCAUGUGACAGUGUCAGCCCUGUGUGCUGCAAAGCUUCAUGGAGCCUUAGAGAAUAAAAAAGAAAAAAGCCAAGUGUAUGCUCAAUAGAAAACAGAUGGAGUUUUCAUUAGAUAUUACUUUUAAUGAUCUGCUUUAAAAGUAAAGAUACACCAUUCUGAACAGAAGGGCCUCAUAAUAGCUGUGUUUGAGUCCCAGGCUCAUUAACUUAGCUACAGAUAAGCAAGACUGCAAGAUCUUUGUAUCAUUAGAGGUUCCAGUCAAGCUUGCCUACCAUUAUUAGAAUUCCAAACACAGCAGAACUAUUUUGGAGCCUUAACAAUAAUUUAUCCUGAAGAUGUAUCUUUAUUUAAUGAUUCAGAGUUGUUAUUAUGGGCCUGGCAGUCAGUUGCUCAGUUUCUGGAGUAUUACCAUUUAACCUAGGUCAGGAUAAAAAUCCUGGAAUAUUCAUUGCAGGGCAGACCUGAGGGCCUGUUCUUCAUAGUCCACUUGGGUGUGACUGUCCCAAAUGGUGCCACUGGCUGUGAGAGGUGACCCCAGCAGUCUACAAAACCUGAAGAUCCCUCCUAAAAAGAGGGACCCUGCAAUCUGUGCCUGUGGGCACUAAAUCAACUUUUGACAUGUAAAGAACAAUGCAAUCCCAGGGUUUUAGGAGUAGAUGCUUGCUGCCAAACCACAAGAAAUGCUUUUGUCUGGAACUCAUGGAGCAGUAACAUAGCAGUGGAGGGUGUACCCUUGUCUGUUAUUCCCUCUGAGCAAUUUCUCAGAGACUUAUUACCAGGAUUCAGAUAGAUUUCAUGGAACUAGGAGAGAAAUAGGCUUUAAUUUCCUUACAAAAGGAGGGAGAGACAAUAGAACUCAGCAAAACGUGGCAUUUUUUUGUUUCUGUCUGAGAGUUAUGCAAGCAAAACCCAGUGCCCAUCUUCAGGCAGUACUCUCUAAAGUGAGACUUGUGUGAGAAAAUUUGUGUUAUCUUUCUUCUGGUGUGAGUUGAUAAAACUGCUUCAUUUCCUCUGCAUAUGUGUAAUACAACCUAUGUCUUCAGCUGAUCUCCAGCUGGGGAGCACAAAUCAGAAUCCAAGUUUCUCAAAGUUGAAGGAAGUUUGGAGCUGAUGUUCUGGUUCAGUGCCACCUCUGCAGAAGAAUACCUGUAUGAAUAAUAAGAAAAAAGCAGCCUCUUGUUUUCACAAGAGACAGACUAGAAGGAUCAAGUCCAGUGGCAAUCUAUCACAAACUCCUGCUGAAACACUGUUAUAGAACCAGGUCUUUCCCACUCUGUUAGAAACCUUCUUUAAUUUCCAGUCUAGAAUUAUUGGUUGACUAGUUUGUUCACAUUUAGUAUUGUGCCAAAGCUGCCUUUUAGUUUGGAUUAUUACACACAAACAGAAUGCAUUAGAUUUCCUUUGCUUUUUGUGUCUUUCAGGGAAAAAAAAAACAAAACACCAAACAACAACAACAACAACAACAACAAAAAAACCAACAAAAAAAAAACCAACAAAAAAAAAGCCACAAAACUUGUGUUCCAGGUCAAAUUAUUUCUACAUGCAAUUUAAGGGCAGGAGGAGAAUAAACAAAAAGAGGAGAGGACAUCAAGGAUUUCCCCUUGCUAUAUUGCUAUAGUGGAAAAAACAACACUUCUUACACAAUUGUUUCUUUCUUCUUUAGCCAUUCAGUGGUCUUUUCUUGAUUAAAGUAUCUUUUUGAGCAUGGGUGGCCAAACCUGAACAAACCAGUUCCAUCAUAGUGGUGAUUCCAGCACAAGGUGAGAGGCUCCCACUUUAGUCUGGGAAGAAUUUUCACAGGAUGAAUUCUCAGCAAAUUCUGAGCAGGUGCCUUUCUAAAGUGUCUAGUUAUGCAAAGCUCAGUCACCCAAGGGGAAACUUGUCCUAAGUAAAUAACCUGUAUGGAUCAAUGCAGAAAUGCACACUGAAGUGACAAAAGGCUUGCUUUGUACAUGGGAAUUAACCCCUGCACUGCUCAGGGUAGCAGCACCUGGUGUCUGGUACUCCUGGGUGCCACGGUGUCCACAUGUGCACACAGAGCACUGACUGAAGCUGGGGGAAUUACUGCUGCAGUGUUUCCAGAGUCUUGGGGAAGACAACUUCUCAACAAGGUAAAUUGGUAUUUUAGCAGAUCUUUGCUGCACCAAGUAUUCCACCAGUGGAGAGUUCUGGAGAAGUGAUUAAGAGGAAAUGCAAGUGACCUCCAGAGCAAGGUACUCCUGUUGAAAAGUUAAGAUGUGAUUUUAAGAGGUCCUGGUCCUUCUAGAAGUUGUUUCUUAAAGCAUCUGCAUGUCAGCACCCUAGAUAUUUUAAACUGAGCAUGCAGAACCCCAGCAUGGAUGGGCACUCUUCAUGAGGGGGCCUACAUGACUCCCUUUAGUCACUUGGCAACACAAUAGUAGAAAUAGCAACAUGGGAUUUCUUAUGUCUAUUGUGUCCAUUAGAACAAUACUGCUGAGAGCAACUGAGACCAAAGGCCUGGCCUUCAAAAUAUAUGACUUGAAAAGAAAGCUGCAUUUUUUUGGUAAGGUCCUAAUGUAUUUCAUUCAGCUUUGCUGCUACUCCCAAAGUUCAGUUGUAAACAAGUCACACAUCUGGGUAGCACUGCCUGUAACUGUCUUCAUCCUCACCAGGAAUUACUUCACAAUGUUCUGUGUGUGCAGAAAGCAGCUUGUAAGAGGUAACCUGAGCAAACUCAUACAACUGAAGAGCUUAAAUAUCUUCAAUGACCAGCCUGCAAAGUACCCACAGUCUUUAACUUUAUGGAUAUAACCCUGAAGUCUUAAAAUUCUGCAUUUUAGCCCUCAGAGUUCCUCUGAUUCUGACUGCUUCCUAUCAGAUUUCCAUGCUGACUCUGUCCAGACAGGUCAGCUGUCCAGAGCAAUGAUGUACUAACUGCUUUCAUGGGAGGUGAGUGUGAACUUGAAUAGAACUCAGGUACAGCUAUAAAGGGUUUUGUAGCUAUACAGUAAUAAAACUUUGAAAGCCAUUUCUGUACAUCAUAAACAAAAUUAAGUAAGCUGUCAGAAUUAUCAUUAGUCAGUUUCAAAAUAAUGUUGCACCUGAAUAAUAUUGAAGUGAAAUGAGGUUGUUGGCAUAUCCUGUAACUUGGAUUCUGCACUCUGGAGACUGAAUUUAUUUGGAUUAAUUAAUAUUUAAAAUGUUCUAUGUUCCUGAUUCCAGCUUCAGUUCCUAAAAAUCAUGUCAGAAAAACCACUGGAAAAAAUACCCACUGAAUUCCAGUAUAGACAGGGAUCCACAGAAAGGGAUAGGGAACUUGGAGACUCCCAAUUUGUGCACAGCUGAUACAAAACCAGAGUUUGGAGUUCAUGGCUGCAGACAGGUUGAGAAGGGGACAUGACCUGUCCACUCUAAGAGACUGAGGACACCUGGAGAAGGAUACAUUUUGGAGGAGUUGACAGACUGCACUGGUUGUCUGCCUUUCUCUUUUUGGAAUGACCAUUCCAAAAAGCCUUUACAAACAUCCAAGCAUGGUGGUGAGGUCCUCAGCAUGGAAGAAUAAAUUAAGAGUGCUCUUGCUGCAAAA